UACGUAGGGCGCAAGCGUUAUCCGGAAUUAUUGGGCGUAAAAGAGCUCGUAGGCGGUUUGUCGCGUCUGCCGUGAAAGUCCGGGGCUCAACUCCGGAUCUGCGGUGGGUACGGGGCAGACUAGAGUGAUGUAGGGGGAGACUGGAAUUCCUGGUGUAGCGGUGAAAAUGCGCAGAUAUCAGGAGGAACACCGAUGGCGAAGGCAGGUCUCUGGGCAUUAACUGACGCUGAGGAGCGAAAAGCAUGGGGGAGCGAACAGG
rnacentral:rRNA from 1 species